CUCAGGCGUGAUGGGACAUGCACACACAUGAAGCCUCUACAGGCUUGAUUUGGGUCAAGUCCAGGCGGAGAAACAGCAGCAGCACCAGCAGAAACCUCUGAAGCAACUCACCUGCGGGCUACACUGCAAAGCUGCCAACGUGAGCAGUGUGGCAAAAUUAGUUAGGUGGCUUGGCUCAGGAUCUCCAACAUCCAUCAGAUCUGCUGCCUUUGCUGACCUCCAAACAGCUGGCUCCAUCCUGCCACCACACAGCCCUUCUGCAGGUCUCCAGACAGUAACCACUUGGAAUGGCUGCUGUAGAUAUCCGGUCUUCUCUUAGAGUUUUCUUAAAGCUACCUGCAUCUCCUUACAGGAACAUAUGAAUAAAAUAUGUAACAUGC